UAUCUUUGUCCCGGUUCCGGAACUAAAAAGAGGUUUAGUCACAAGGGAACGCUGUGCAAAUCGGCGACAGUACCCGCUGCUGUAAUUCCCUGAGAAUCCGCACAUUAUGUCACUGCGUUUUAUGCGUGGGAAGGCGUGCGAAGGAGGGAUAAGUCAGAAGACCGGCCGGAACCAAUGGACAAUUA
rnacentral:ncRNA from 19 species